AGAGUUUGAUCCUGGCUCAGAUUGAACGCUGGCGGCAUGGCUAAAACAUGCAAGUCGAACGGUGUAGCAAUACACAGUGGCGGAAGGGCGAGUAACGCGUGCCUAAUGUACCUCGAAGUCAGGGAUAGCGGUGGGAAACUGCCGGUAAUACCUGAUGACAUCCUUGGGAGGCAUCUCCUGGGGAUCAAAGGCUUGCUGCUUCGAGAGCAGGGUGCGUCCUAUCAGGUAGUUGGUGGGGUAAUGGCCCACCAAGCCUAAGACGGGUAGCGGGUGUGAGAGCACGGCCCGCCGCAUCGGGACUGAGACACUGCCCGGACUUCUACGGAAGGCUGCAGUAACGAAUAUUCCGCAAUGCACGAAAGUGUGACGGAGCAAUGCCGCGUGUGGGAUGAAGUACUUCGGUAUGUAAACCACUGUCAGGGAAUAGAAAACACGAUCAUUCCCAAAGGAAGAGACGGCUAACUCUGUGCCAGCAGCCACGGUAAUACAGAGGUCUCAAGCGUUAAUCGGAAUCACUGGGCUUAAAGGGUCCGCAGGUGGUUCGGCAAGUACCUUGUGAAAUCCACGGUCUCAACCCGUGAAUUGCUUGGUAGACUGCCGGACUUGAGUGUGGCAGGGGUCGCUGGAACCGUAGGUGGAGCGGUGAAAUGCGUAGAUAUCUACGGGAACGCCAAAGGUGAAGACAGGCGACUGGGCCACAACUGACACUCAGGGACGAAAGCGUGGGGAUCGAACGGGAUUAGAUACCCCGGUAGUCCACGCCCUAAACGAUGCAUACUUGGCUGUGGCGGCUUUACCGCCGUCGGAGCCGGAGCAAAAGUGUGAAGUAUGCCGCCUGGGGAGUACGGUCGCAAGAUUAAAACUCAAAGAAAUUGACGGGGGCUCACACAAGCGGUGGAGCAUGUGGCUUAAUUCGAAGCAACGCGCAGAACCUUACCCGGGUUUGACAUGUACGGAUUAGUUGGAUGAAAGUUCAAUGACGCUCGCAAGAGUGGAACGUACACAGGUGCUGCAUGGCUGUCGUCAGCUCGUGCUGUGAAGUGUCGCGUUAAGUCGCUUAACGAGCGAAACCCCUAUCUUCAGUUGCCAACAGGUCAUGCUGGGGACUCUGAAGAGACUGCCGGUGUCAAACCGGAGGAAGGUGGGGAUGACGUCAAGUCCUCAUGGCCUUUAUGCCCGGGGUUGCACACGUGCUACAAUGGCGUGGUACUGAGCGAAGCUAAGCCGCAAGGUAGAGCAAAUCGCAGAAAACACGCCCCAGUUCAGAUCGCGGUCUGCAACCCGACCGCGUGAAGCCGGAAUCGCUAGUAAUCGCGGAUCAGCUACGCCGCGGUGAAUAUGUUCCUGAGCCUUGUACACACCGCCCGUCACGUCAUGGGAGCCGGGAGCACCCGAAGCCGCCUCGAUUCAGAGGUGUCUACGGUGAAAUCGGUGACUGGGACGAAGUCGUAACAAGGUAGCCGUA
rnacentral:rRNA from 1 species